rnacentral:rRNA from 1 species
UGAGGAAUAUUGGACAAUGGGCGCAAGCCUGAUCCAGCCAUGCCGCGUGCAGGAAGAAGCAUCUAUGGUGUGUAAACUGCUUUUGUACGGGAAGAAACCACCCCUCGUGAGGGGUAUUGACGGUACCGUAAGAAUAAGGAUCGGCUAACUCCGUGCCAGCAGCCGCGGUAAUACGGAGGAUCCAAGCGUUAUCCGGAAUCAUUGGGUUUAAAGGGUCCGUGGGCGGGUCUGUAAGUCAGUGGUGAAAUCUCCCCGCUCAACGGGGAAACUGCCAUUGAUACUGCUAGACUUGAAUUAUUAGGAAGUAACUAGAAUAUGUAGUGUAGCGGUGAAAUGCUUAGAUAUUACAUGGAAUACCAAUUGCGAAGGCAGGUUACUACUAAUGGAUUGACGCUGAUGGACGAAAGCGUGGGGAGCAAACA